rnacentral:misc_RNA from 1 species
GUAUUGAUUGCGUGUUAUCGCAAAAAUGGGGGUCAUUCUACACUUUUAAAAUAGGGGUUUGUGUGAAAACGCAAGCCCCCCUCCCGGAUCGGUUUGAUCCCAAAGGGUUGCCCACGCGGUGGUGCACAAAAGGGUGAGAUGGAUUUUAUGCGAGAGGACAUGCUCUGGCGUGCACGACUUUAAAGUCAGCGACAGCCCUCGCAUGCCCUCACACAUUUUGUACGAUAAUGAUCCUUCCGCAGGUUCACCUACGGAAA